rnacentral:rRNA from 1 species
UACGUAGGUGGCAAGCGUUGUCCGGAUUUACUGGGCGUAAAGAGCGCGCAGGCGGUCGUUCAAGUCGCGUGUGAAAGCCCCCGGCUCAACUGGGGAGGGUCACGCGAUACUGAUCGACUCGAAGGCAGGAGAGGGUAGUGGAAUUCCCGGUGUAGUGGUGAAAUGCUUAGAUAUCGUCAAGAACACCUAUAGCGAAGGCAGCUUACUAGGCUGUAACUGACGCUGAGGCACGAAAGUGUGGGGAUCAAACAGG